rnacentral:rRNA from 1 species
CCUACGGGAGGCAGCAGUGGGGAAUAUUGCACAAUGGGGGAAACCCUGAUGCAGCGACGCCGCGUGAGUGAAGAAGUAUUUCGGUAUGUAAAGCCCUAUCAGCAGGGAAGAAGAAAUGACGGUACCUGAGUAAGAAGCACCGGCUAAAUACGUGCCAGCAGCCGCGGUAAUACGUAUGGUGCAAGCGUUAUCCGGAUUUACUGGGUGUAAAGGGAGCGCAGGCGGCACGGCAAGCCUGACGUGAAAGCCCGCGGCCCAACCGCCGGACUGCCUUGGGAACUAGCGGGCUGGAGUGGCGGAGAGGUAGGCGGAAUGCCGAGUGUAGCGGUGAAAUGCGUAGAUAUUAGGCGGAACACCGGUGGCGAAGGCAGCAUACCGGACGCGGACUGACGCUGAGGCACGAAAGCGUGGGGAGCGAACAGGAUUAGAUACCCCUGUAGUC